GGGUCAGCAGGUCGGUCGUGCCACGGUAUGCACUGGCCUUGCUGAUUCCUCCCUCUUGAUGAGCCGUAAUGCCAUUAAUUUGGUGUUGCGGGGAAUCAGGACUGUUACUUUGAAAAAAUUAGAGUGUUUAAAGCAGGCAAGCGCUUGAAUACAUUAGCAUGGAAUAAUGAAAUAGGACGUUCGAUCCUAUUUUGUUGGUUUCUAGGAUGACGUA
rnacentral:rRNA from 1 species